UGUUGCUUACAGGUGAUGUGAACUGUUUAGCUCCGGUGACUGUUGGUAAUGCAGACUGUGGUUAGAGUUUUGCAAAUGUGGCUUCAGUUGUGACCACUGUCGUUUAGCAAUCGACAAAAAAUGGAUAUAACAACUCAGUC